UACGAAGGGGGCUAGCGUUGCUCGGAAUCACUGGGCGUAAAGGGCGCGUAGGCGGCCAUUCAAGUCGGGGGUGAAAGCCUGUGGCUCAACCACAGAAUUGCCUUCGAUACUGUUUGGCUUGAGUUUGGUAGAGGUUGGUGGAACUGCGAGUGCAGAGGUGAAAUUCGUAGAUAUUCGCAAGAACACCAGUGGCGAAGGCGGCCAACUGGACCAACACUGACGCUGAGGCG
rnacentral:rRNA from 1 species